UAAUAAUAAAAAUUAAUGAUUCAUACAUAUCACUUAUUAGGUUACUUAUACAUUGUAAAAUUCAUAAAAUAAAAAUAUUUAUUUGUCGUAAAUUUAUCUCAAUAAUUGAAUCGAGCAAUUGAAUAAAACUAAUUAAUUCAUAUAUAUUUACGUAAUCAAAUGGCUUAAAAAAAUUCGAUUAUCGAUUAAAUAUUUUCGAUAUUUUACUAAUGCUUAUUUCAAGUAAUAAGUGAAGUCAACUGAUAUCGCGUGUAUUGCGAAACAAAUUAUUUCAAAACAUUUUUAAUGACUGUUCAAACUUUUGAAAAUAAUAAGAUGGAAGAUGAAUCUAAUCAGUCAGGAUCAACUCAAGCUGAUUUCAUUAAUGAAGAAUUGAACUUUGAUAUAGAUCCAAAUGAACCAAUGACAAAAGCAACUUUAAAUGAACAUCCACCCGAAGAGUGGAUAGAUAUUUUAGGAAUGGACAGACUUAAAAAAAAAGUUAUAAAAAAUGGAAAAAAUGGAACACGACCAAAUAGAUCUGAUAUUUGUACUUUAAAAAUUAUUGGCAAAUUAAAAGAUAAUACAAUUGUUGAAAAAUAUGAAGAUCUUAAAAUUCAAUUAGGAGAUGUUGAAUUGAUUCAGGGAUUAGAUUUAGCAAUUGCAUUAAUGGAUGUGAAUGAAAUUGCUGAAAUUGAGGUUGAUCCAAGAUUUGCUUAUGGUUCUCUAGGAAAAGAACCAAAUAUUCCAUCUAAUGCAACUAUUUUAUAUACAGUUGAAUUAAAAUCAAGUGAAUUAGAAGCAGAAAUAGAAACCCUUAAUGCUAAUCAGCGAAAAGAAAUUGGCAAUAAAAAACGAGAACGUGGGAAUUGGUGGUUUACUCGUAAUGAACCAACACUUGCAAUUCAAUGUUACCGGAGAGCUUUAGAAUUUUUAUUACCAACAGAAAGUCGUACACCCUAUCAAAGUGAGGCAGAAGAUACUACUGAUGCUGAAUUGCAAGCUUUGUUAGAGGAUCGUAUGAAAGUAUAUAAUAAUUUAGCAGCUGCACAAAUGAAAACACAAGCUUAUGAUGCAGCAUUGAAAAGUGUAGAAAGUGUUCUGAGUUGUCAACCUCAAAAUGUAAAAGCUCUAUUUAGAAAAGGAAAAAUUUUGCAUUAUAAAGGAGAACAUGCAUUAGCAUAUCAAACAUUGCUUCAAGCAGCAAAAUUGGAGCCAGAAACUAAGGCUAUUCAAAUGGAAUUAGCUAUUUUAAAAGAAAAAAAUGCUAAGGAUGCUCAGCAUGAAAAGAAUUUAUAUCGUAAAAUGUUAGGUGCACAUAAAAAUAACAAUACAUCUUUAAAAAAUUUAAAGAAAGGAAAUAAGAAUAAAAAUUCAUCAAAAUUUACAUGGAGCUUAAUUGGUGGAGCAACUGCAGCAGUUUUAAGUGUCCUUUUAUACAGAUUUAUUUCGUGAGAAAAAUUUAAAAUGAAAUUAAAGUGAAAGACAAUGUCCAAGCUAAAUAUUGUGAAAUAUAUUAAUACAUUACUUAAGUAUCGUUGAUUUAAAAUGACUAUAAAGAAUAUGGGUAUAAAAACAACGUAAUUCUAUGACAAGUUUCCAUGUGGCGAGAAAGAUGAUGGGAUCUCUUGAAAGCAGUAUUACAUUGCAUACAAACAAAUGGUCGAUAUUGUUGAUGAGAUAAUUUAUGUCUUUUUAAUAAACUAUUUCGUUUAAA
rnacentral:misc_RNA from 1 species